GAUGAACGCUGGCGGCGUGCCUAAUACAUGCAAGUCGAGCGAACGGACGAGAAGCUUGCUUCUCUGAUGUUAGCGGCGGACGGGUGAGUAACACGUGGAUAACCUACCUAUAAGACUGGGAUAACUUCGGGAAACCGUAGCUAAUACCGGAUAAUAUUUUGAACCGCAUGGUUCAAAAGUGAAAGACGGUCUUGCUGUCACUUAUAGAUGGAUCCGCGCUGCAUUAGCUAGUUGGUAAGGUAACGGCUUACCAAGGCAACGAUGCAUAGCCGACCUGAGAGGGUGAUCGGCCACACUGGAACUGAGACACGGUCCAGACUCCUACGGGAGGCAGCAGUAGGGAAUCUUCCGCAAUGGGCGAAAGCCUGACGGAGCAACGCCGCGUGAGUGAUGAAGGUCUUCGGAUCGUAAAACUCUGUUAUUAGGGAAGAACAAAUGUGUAAGUAACUGUGCACGUCUUGACGGUACCUAAUCAGAAAGCCACGGCUAACUACGUG
rnacentral:rRNA from 1 species